rnacentral:rRNA from 1 species
GACGAACGCUGGCGGCGUGCUUAACACAUGCAAGUCGAACGAAGAGCGAUGGAAGCUUGCUUCUAUCAAUCUUAGUGGCGAACGGGUGAGUAACGCGCAAUCAACCUGCCCUUCAGAGGGGGACAACAGUUGGAAACGACUGCUAAUACCGCAUACGAUCUAACCUCGGCAUCGAGGAUGGAUGAAAGGUGGCCUCUAUUUAUAAGCUAUCACUGAAGGAGGGGAUUGCGUCUGAUUAGCUAGUUGGAGGGGUAACGGCCCACCAAGGCGAUGAUCAGUAGCCGGUCUGAGAGGAUGAACGGCCACAUUGGGACUGAGACACGGCCCAGACUCCUACGGGAGGCAGCAGUGGGGAAUCUUCCGCAAUGGACGAAAGUCUGACGGAGCAACGCCGCGUGAGUGAUGACGGCCUUCGGGUUGUAAAGCUCUGUUAAUCGGGACGAAAGGCCUUCUUGCGAAUAGUUAGAAGGAUUGACGGUACCGGAAUAGAAAGCCACGGCUAACUACGUG